CAAGGCUUGACAUAUACGAGAACGCUCUAGAAAUAGAGAACUCUUUGGACACUCGUAUACAGGUGGUGCAUGGUUGUCGUCAGCUCGUGUCGUGAGAUGUUGGGUUAAGUCCCGCAACGAGCGCAACCCUCGUUCUAUGUUGCCAGCGGUUCGGCCGGGAACUCAUAGGAGACUGCCGGGGUCAACUCGGAGGAAGGUGGGGAUGACGUCAAAUCAUCAUGCCCCUUAUGUCUUGGGCUUCACGCAUGCUACAAUGGCCGGUACAAAGGGCUGCAAUACCGUAAGGUGGAGCGAAUCCCAAAAAGCCGGUCUCAGUUCGGAUUGAGGUCUGCAACUCGACCUCAUGAAGUCGGAGUCGCUAGUAAUCGCAGAUCAGCAACGCUGCGGUGAAUACGUUCCC
rnacentral:rRNA from 1 species